GCAGGGGACAACAUUACAUCCGGAGCCAACUUUUCAGCUCCUUAAAUAAAGGAAUGUGAACUUGCCAACUAGGUAUCUUUGAGUGGACCUACUAUCUGAUUUAGCUGAUUUUUCCUGGGCUGGGAACCUGUAUUGCAUGUACCAAAUCCUGUCUUUCAUUAAUUUUCCUAUGUUCCUGUUAUGUCUUGGCAUUGUUCAACACCAGCAUUCCUCCUGUAUAACCAACUCUUGCCUGUAUUUAACAUCACACAAGGACUCGUCAUAAGCACUGCUUGCAUACGAGUAUAACGGAAGAAUAAUAAUAAUAAUAAUAAUAUACACUGC
rnacentral:sRNA from 1 species